GUCUACAGCCAUACCACCCUGAACGCGCCCGAUCUCGUCUGAUCUCGGAAGCUAAGCAGGGUCGGACCUGGUUAGUACUUGGAUGGGAGAUAUGUAUUUCGUGAAGAUU
rnacentral:rRNA from 1 species